GACUGUCAAGCCCGCAUGUUUCCGUACGUCCUCCCAGUAGCCUGCGUCUCCAUUUACCAUGAAUCUUCAUGAAGUCUGCAUCCCCCUCUCCCCUGGCCCCCCAGGCGCUCCGCUCCAAAACGCCGAUGCGACCGCCGCCUCGACGUGGCUCCCCCCCGCACAGAUAGAAAAGGAAAUCCUAGGGUUACAUCAUCUCGGAUCUGAGUUCCUGGUGCUAUGGAGGUCGAGGAUACACUAAUUCAGCGGUUGAGGCUAUGGGGGUUACGAUCUGAGUUCCUGCUGCCAUGGAGGUCGACGACAUGCUAAUUCAGCGCAUGAGGCUCUGGCGGUUGGUGCCCUCCCUUUACGGCCAUCCCAGCUGUGAUGCCCUCUCCUAUCGCUUCCAAUGCUGCAGAGCUGUUCCAGGCCGCAAGCGCAACCAUGUUGGCUUGCCCCUUUCGAGGAGCUCCAUGUCCUCAUCACCAAGAACUCAUCCUCCCUUUCGGAUUACUCAGGUGAGGAGCAUGCUAUCUGCUCCUCUCUUCUUUGAUUGGUGCUAAUUCUGGUCUACAAUUAUCAUCUCGAAUUUUUUUAUGAAUUGAGCAUCAGAUUAGUUUAUACAAUCAUGGUCACCAAGAGCUCGUCCUCCCUUUCGGAUUAUUCAGGAUGGAAGUGUGUCGAAUGCUUCUUCAGAUACUAUUUCUUGGUCUGUUAAAUAUACUUGACCCAAAUGCAAGUUUUGCUCAAAUGUGACAAAAAAUGAUUGUCACAUUAAUUGUCAGCACGCCUGCUUCCAGCAAAGUUCUAGAAAAGGAAAAGAUGGAAUGAAACUCAAAUUUUGAUGGCCACACAUGUGUGGAGACUUGAAUUCAUAUAUAUUUAGUUAGGCUCAACAUUAGCGUAAACAGUUGAUGACCAAGUUUUUCAAUUAGUAUUUUAGUUUAGAUUUAGAGUACACUUAUGUAUGAGUUAUUUACCAAUGCUUAUUUAUGAGAUAUUGAACGAUAUUAAAAUAUUAUGAAAUAUAUGUGCAUGUAUAUUUCUCUUUCA